CUCCUCUUCACCAUCACCAGAGUCUCCGGUGCCAUCUAUGUCUCCGUCCUCAGCACUGCUAUCCAGGGGCGCCCCACCAAAGCUGUCCAGAGCCUCUUCGGCGUCGCGGUGCUGCCGGAACGCCAAGGGAAGUUUUGUGUCUAUGCAAAGACCGGUUCCUGCCCUGCGAGGAGCUCGAAGAACAGCAGGGAGACAGUUGUGUGGAAGGGAAGGAACAGAGGGACUAAGCAGAACCAUUCAAGAUGGAGCAGAUGGAAACAGCUGCCAACAGAUGAGCCCUGGAAAGGAUUCAAGCCACAGUACUUGCUGGAACUUGGGAGUUCGUGAUGGCCUGAGCUUACCCAACGACAGAUGGCAGGAUCGUAAUAGUCUGCCCCACAGCCACAGCUGAAAGCCCUGGCAUCCCGUCAUGGCAGCCAAGUGCAUUUACUUUAGGAUUCAGAAGCAAAGCAUCAGUGUGAAAGGAAGGAAUGUGGCAUGGCCAAAGUGUAAGGAUUGUUUCCGAGCUUGUCCUGUGCUACACCUGCAUGUUAGGUGGGGGGUUACCAUGCAUGCCGAGAUAUUUGUGCCCUACUGAGGGAUUUGGCCACCGGAGACUCGCAUCAUGGUCCCGCUGUCAUCUCCUGCUCCUGUGCAUCUGCCCACCUGACUUGUGAAAGAUGAGGAAAGGGAGCACUGAAGUCACCAGGAGAACAUUUCAGCAAGAACGGCAGUUUCUGUCGUAGCCAGCAGAUGUUGCUCUUGGACCAAAAACCGGCCCAAG